rnacentral:rRNA from 1 species
AUUGAACGCUGGCGGCAGGCCUAACACAUGCAAGUCGCACGAGUGGCGGACGGGUGAGUAAUAUCUGGGAAACUGCCUGAUGGCGGGGGAUAACUACUGGAAACGAUAGCUAAUACCGCAUACCAUCAGAUCUGCCCAGAGGGGAUUAGCUUGUUGGUGGGUGAAGGGCUCACCAAGGCUACGAUCCCUAGCUGAUCUGAGAGGAUGACCAGCCACACUGGAACUGAGACACGUGCCAGACUCCUACGGGAGGCAGCAGUGGGGAAUAUUGCACAAUGGGCGAAAGCCUGAUGCAGCCACGCAGCGUGUGUGAAGAAGGCCUUCGGGUUGUAAAGUACUUUCAUCGGGGAGGCGUUACCCGCAGAAGAAGCACCGGCUAACUCCGGGCCAGCAGCCGCGGUAAUUC